GAUGAACGCUGGCGGCGUGCUUAACACAUGCAAGUCGAACGGAAAGGCCCAAGCUUGCUUGGGUACUCGAGUGGCGAACGGGUGAGUAACACGUGGGUGAUCUGCCCUGCACUUCGGGAUAAGCCUGGGAAACUGGGUCUAAUACCGGAUAGGACCACAUUUUGGAUGGUGUGGUGGAAAGUUUUUCGGUGUGGGAUGAGCUCGCGGCCUAUCAGCUUGUUGGUGGGGUAAUGGCCUACCAAGGCGUCGACGGGUAGCCGGCCUGAGAGGGUGUACGGCCACAUUGGGACUGAGAGACGGCCCAGACUCCUACGGGAGGCAGCAGUGGGGAAUAUUGCACAAUGGGCGCAAGCCUGAUGCAGCGACGCCGCGUGGGGGAUGACGGCCUUCGGGUUGUAAACUCCUUUCGCUAGGGACGAAGCGCAAGUGACGGUACCUGGAGAAGAAGCACCGGCUAACUACGUG
rnacentral:rRNA from 1 species